UAUUUGCCAUGAGGAUCCUAUUACGACGGUAUCUUAAGGGUAUGGCUUAUUCCAACCCUUCUGAUUAUACCAAAACUGAAUUAUGAUUCUGAGCAAAUC
rfam:Zea mays cultivar B73 chromosome 7, whole genome shotgun sequence.